UACGUAGGGUGCAAGCGUUGUCCGGAAUUAUUGGGCGUAAAGAGCUCGUAGGCGGUCUGUCGCGUCUGCUGUGAAAACUCAGGGCUUAACCCUGAGCUUGCAGUGGGUACGGGCAGACUAGAGUGCGGUAGGGGAGACUGGAAUUCCUGGUGUAGCGGUGAAAUGCGCAGAUAUCAGGAGGAACACCGGUGGCGAAGGCGGGUCUCUGGGCCGUAACUGA
rnacentral:rRNA from 1 species